AGAGUUUGAUCCUGGCUCAGGACGAACGCUGGCGGCGUGCCUAAUACAUGCAAGUAGAACGCUGAAGAGAGGAGCUUGCUCUUCUUGGAUGAGUUGCGAACGGGUGAGUAACGCGUAGGUAACCUGCCUUGUAGCGGGGGAUAACUAUUGGAAACGAUAGCUAAUACCGCAUAACAAUGGAUGACCCAUGUCAUUUAUUUGAAAGGGGCAAAUGCUCCACUACAAGAUGGACCUGCGUUGUAUUAGCUAGUAGGUGAGGUAACGGCUCACCUAGGCGACGAUACAUAGCCGACCUGAGAGGGUGAUCGGCCACACUGGGACUGAGACACGGCCCAGACUCCUACGGGAGGCAGCAGUAGGGAAUCUUCGGCAAUGGGGGCAACCCUGACCGAGCAACGCCGCGUGAGCGAAGAAGGUUUUCGGAUCGUAAAGCUCUGUUGUAAGUCAAGAACGAGUGUGAGAGUGGAAAGUUCACACUGUGACGGUAGCUUACCAGAAAGGGACGGCUAACUACGUGCCAGCAGCCGCGGUAAUACGUAGGUCCCGAGCGUUGUCCGGAUUUAUUGGGCGUAAAGCGAGCGCAGGCGGUUUGAUAAGUCUGAAGUUAAAGGCUGUGGCUCAACCAUAGUUCGCUUUGGAAACUGUCAAACUUGAGUGCAGAAGGGGAGAGUGGAAUUCCAUGUGUAGUGGUGAAAUGCGUAGAUAUAUGGAGGAACACCGGUGGCGAAAGCGGCUCUCUGGUCUGUAACUGACGCUGAGGCUCGAAAGCGUGGGGAGCGAACAGGAUUAGAUACCCUGGUAGUCCACGCCGUAAACGAUGAGUGCUAGGUGUUGGAUCCUUUCCGGGAUUCAGUGCCGCAGCUAACGCAUUAAGCACUCCGCCUGGGGAGUACGACCGCAAGGUUGAAACUCAAAGGAAUUGACGGGGGCCCGCACAAGCGGUGGAGCAUGUGGUUUAAUUCGAAGCAACGCGAAGAACCUUACCAGGUCUUGACAUCCCGAUGCUAUUUCUAGAGAUAGAAAGUUACUUCGGUACAUCGGUGACAGGUGGUGCAUGGUUGUCGUCAGCUCGUGUCGUGAGAUGUUGGGUUAAGUCCCGCAACGAGCGCAACCCCUAUUGUUAGUUGCCAUCAUUCAGUUGGGCACUCUAGCGAGACUGCCGGUAAUAAACCGGAGGAAGGUGGGGAUGACGUCAAAUCAUCAUGCCCCUUAUGACCUGGGCUACACACGUGCUACAAUGGUUGGUACAACGAGUUGCGAGUCGGUGACGGCAAGCUAAUCUCUUAAAGCCAAUCUCAGUUCGGAUUGUAGGCUGCAACUCUCCUAUAUGAAGUCGGAAUCGCUAGUAAUCGCGGAUCAGCACGCCGCGGUGAAUACGUUCCCGGGCCUUGUACACACCGCCCGUCACACCACGAGAGUUUGUAACACCCGAAGUCGGUGAGGUAACCUUUUGGAGCCAGCCGCCUAAGGUGGGAUAGAUGAUUGGGGUGAAGUCGUAACAAGGUA
rnacentral:rRNA from 1 species